rnacentral:rRNA from 1 species
AACGAACGCUGGCGGCGUGGAUAAGACAUGCAAGUCGAACGCUGACUACGGGGUAGCAAUAUUCCGUGGUUGGAGUGGCGUAAGGGUGCGUAAUACGUGGGUAAUUUGCCGUGAAGUCGGGGAUAACUCCGAGAAAUCGGAGCUAAUACCGGAUGUGACUCCUGGAAGGCAUCUUCUGGGAUUCAAAGUUGGGGACCGCAAGGCCUGAUGCUUCACGAUAAACCCGCGGCCUAUCAGCUAGUUGGCGGGGUAACGGCCCACCAAGGCUAAGACGGGUAGCUGGUCUGAGAGGACGACCAGCCACACUGGAACUGAGACACGGUCCAGACACCUACGGGUGGCUG